rnacentral:rRNA from 1 species
UACGGGGGGGGCAAGCGUUGUUGGGAAUUACUGGGCGUAAAGGGCUCGUAGGCGGCCAACUAAGUCGGAUGUGAAAUCCCCAGGCUCAACCUGGGAACUGCAUCCGAUACUGGAUGGCUUGAAUUCGGGAGAGGGAUGCAGAAUUCCAGGUGUAGCGGUGAAAUGCGUAGAUAUCUGGAGGAAUACCGGUGGCGAAGGCGGCAUCCUGGACCGACAUUGACGCUGAGGAGCGAAAGCCAGGGGAGCAAACGGG